rnacentral:rRNA from 1 species
UACGGAAGGCAGCAGUGGGGAAUAUUGCACAAUGGGCGCAAGCCUGAUGCAGCCAUGCCGCGUGUAUGAAGAAGGCCUUCGGGUUGUAAAGUACUUUCAGCGGGGAGGAAGGCGGUGGAGUUAAUAGCUUCACCGAUUGACGUUACCCGCAGAAGAAGCACCGGCUAACUCCGUGCCAGCAGCCGCGGUAAUACGGAGGGUGCAAGCGUUAAUCGGAAUUACUGGGCGUAAAGCGCACGCAGGCGGUCUGUCAAGUCGGAUGUGAAAUCCCCGGGCUUAACCUGGGAACUGCAUUCGAAACUGGCAGGCUAGAGUCUUGUAGAGGGGGUAGAAUUCCAGGUGUAGCGGUGAAAUGCGUAGAGAUCUGGAGGAAUCCGGUGGCGAAGGCGGCCCCUGGGACAAAGCUGACGCUCAGGGUGCGAAAGCGUGGGGAGCAAACGAGGAUUAGAUACC